CUCCGGGUUGAUCCUGCCGGACCCGACUGCUAUCAGAGUGGGACUAAGCCAUGCGAGUCAACAUAGCAAUAUGUGGCAUACGGCUCAGUAACACGUAGUCAACAUGCCCAGGGGACGUGGAUAACCUCGGGAAACUGAGGAUAAACCGCGAUAAGUCACUACUUCUGGAAUGGGUAAUGACUCAAAUCUACAUGGCCCCUGGAUUGGACUGCGGCCGAUCAGGCUGUUGGUGAGGUAAUGGCCCACCAAACCUGUAACCGGUACGGGCUCUGAGAGGAGGAGCCCGGAGAUGGGCACUGAGACAAGGGCCCAGGCCCUAUGGGGCGCAGCAGGCGCGAAACCUCUGCAAUAGGCGAAAGCCUGACAGGGUUACUCUGAGUGAUUUCCGUUAAGGAGAUCUUUUGGCACCUCUAAAAAUGGUGCAGAAUAAGGGGUGGGCAAGUCUGGUGUCAGCCGCCGCGGUAAUACCAGCACCCCGAGUGGUCGGGACGUUUAUUGGGCCUAAAGCAUCCGUAGCCGGUUCUACAAGUCUUCCGUUAAAUCCACCUGCUUAACAGAUGGGCUGCGGAAGAUACUAUAGAGCUAGGAGGCGGGAGAGGCAAGCGGUACUCGAUGGGUAGGGGUAAAAUCCGUUGAUCCAUUGAAGACCACCAGUGGCGAAGGCGGCUUGCCAGAACGCGCUCGACGGUGAGGGAUGAAAGCUGGGGGAGCAAACCGGAUUAGAUACCCGGGUAGUCCCAGCUGUAAACGAUGCAGACUCGGUGAUGAGUUGGCUUCUUGCCAACUCAGUGCCGCAGGGAAGCCGUUAAGUUUGCCGCCUGGGGAGUACGGUCGCAAGACUGAAACUUAAAGGGAUUGGCGGGGGAGCA
rnacentral:rRNA from 1 species